rnacentral:tRNA from 1 species
GAGGGUGUAGCUCAGUAGUAGAGCAUGUGCUUAGCAUGCACAAUCCUGGGUUCAAUCCCCAGCUCCUCCG